UGAAAAAUUCCAGAAGGGGGAAGGAAAGGAAGAAGAAAAAUAUAUUGAUGUGGUCAUCAAUAAAAAUAUGAAGUUGGGACAGAAAGUUUUGAUUCCAGUAAAACAAUUCCCUAAGUUCAACUUUGUGGGAAAACUUUUGGGUCCACGUGGCAAUUCUCUAAAGCGUUUACAGGAAGAAACACUGACAAAAAUGUCUAUUUUGGGAAAAGGUUCUAUGAGGGACAAGACAAAGGAGGAAGAGUUGAGAAAAAGUGGAGAGGCAAAGUACUUCCACCUAAAUGAUGACCUGCAUGUUUUGAUUGAAGUUUUUGCUCCACCAGCGGAAGCAUAUGCCAGAAUGGGACAUGCAUUGGAAGAAAUCAAGAAGUUCCUCAUCCCUGACUACAAUGAUGAGAUCAGACAGGCACAGCUUCAAGAAUUAACAUAUUUAAAUGGUGGUUCAGAAAAUGCAGAAGUUCCAGUAGUCCGUGGAAAACCAUCUAUUCGAGCAAGAGGAGUACCAGUUCCUGCUUUGUCCAGCAGGCUGUGUCUGGGAACUUCACUGCUCACCCCUGCCCCCACUACAAUGAAGUCAAAUAAGCAGCUGGUACCCUGUCCUGAGGAGGCAUUCUACAGAUUAGCCAAAACCAAGGGCCGUGGAGGAGUGCCUCCACCACCAGCAGGAGUACCAAGAGGGGCACCAGCACCCAGAGGAGUGCCUCCCAGUAGAGGACCAGUCAGUCGUAGCCGUGGACUUCUAGCACCCAGAGCAAGAGGAGUACCUCCACCUUCAGGAUACCGCCCCCUUCCACCACCUCCAGCACAGGAGACAUAUGGUGAAUAUGAAUAUGAUGAUGGUUAUGGAACUGCUUACGAUGAACAAAGCUAUGAUUCCUAUGAUAACAGCUAUAGCACUCAAGCACAAAGUGGAGCAGAUUACUAUGACUAUGGUCACGGACUAAGUGAAGAAACGUACGACUCUUAUGGGCAAGAAGAAUGGACCAACUCACGACACAAGGCACCUUCUGCAAGAACGUCAAAAGGAGUCUACAGAGACCAGCCAUAUGCCAGAUACUGAUUGUACUGUCUGAUGUUGUGAAAUAUCCAAUCUCCACCAGUCCUGUAUACUGUUCAAAGAAACCCACCUCCUUGGACAGCCAAGAGAACAAAAACCUUAAUUGUCUGAUGCUUUGGAACUUCUGCCAUGUUAAUUACGGACUGCUUAGAGCAUUGUACUUAUCCGUGUGCCUAGACAACAAUGAGACGGGCUACGGAGUAUGAAAAUCCCUUUCAAUAUUUCUUGUAUUAAAGCCUUAAAGUGUAUAACGGUAUACACUUUUUAAAAUAAUUGUGUAUUUAAACUUGUUUAGUGAUGCAGCAGUGUUUUAUUUGGACCUCAAUAAAGAAUUUUCAUCAAAGUUCCUGUUACGAAGCAAUAAUGCAACCUGAUGUUUGUUUAGUGACUCUUUUUAGCCUUAUUCAGCAAGUGUAAGAGAGCAUGUGAAUCCUCAUGACUUCGGAAAUAGCUUGUCUAAUGUAUGAAUGACAUGGAUAAGUUAAAAUGAAGAUUGGUGUUUUAUGCUGAAGCUUUAUUUAAUAGUUAAUUGUAAACAGGUCUACUCAAAUAAGACUUGGGUAGAAAUGAUACUCCCAACUUUCAUUUCCUUCCGGAACUUGUAUAAAGUGAAGGUGUUUUAAUCCCUGUCAAUUAUACUACGCUGCUUAUUCUCUUUCACUUGGUGUUUGAUGCAUAGAAAUGUUUAAUAGACAGUCACAGGUUUUCUAGUAGUAGUCUUGGAUGAGGCUUUUACACCUUGAUAAAUCUCAUAUCUAACAGUCAUGUUUCCUCAGUGCUUUGUUUUAUAUUAAUUGUGAUUGUGAUAAUUUGUAACAGAA